rnacentral:sRNA from 1 species
AGGGCGCAGAGCCUACAGAGUGCCAAGGCGGCCUACGAGGACUUCCGCCGCGGCCAUGACCACGUGCUGCAGUUCCUAGCCAGCAUCCCCAGUUACGAGCCCCAGGAGACAGACAGCCUCAGCCAGAUGGAGACCAAGCUGAAGAACCAGAAGAACCUGCUAGAUGAGAUAGCAAGUAGGGAGCAGGAAGUACAGAAGAUCUGUGCCAAUUCCCAGCAGUACCAGCAAGCUGUAAAGGUGAGCCGGGAAACUUCUGCCCAAAGCACAAACAGCAGGGGCCUUGUUCUACCGUCCCCUGGUCAGAGAAGCAGCAAGCACCGGCCCUGGCACAUGGGGGUAGAGCUGGCCAUCCGAGGCACUGCCGGCUGCUGUGCAAACUGGCACAGGCUUUUGGGAAAACAGCAUGGUACUAGACAUGGAAUGCUGUAAAAGGGUUUUAUACUCUGAAGCAGUAAACUCUUUGGGGUAAUUUAUCCUUAAGGAAAAAAUACAAAAA